AGGUAGAGGACCUGCCCGUGAGCUUACAAUCUAAAUUGUAAAAUGUUAAUGGGGAGAUGAGACAAUACAAUGCCAGUAAAGUUCAAUGAUCACAUUCUGUUGCCAUUUUAGUGAACUACACUACUAGUAAUGCCUUUCAAUGUCUUUACAAAUACCUAUAAACAAAGUUUACCAUUUUUAUUUAUGUAUUUGUCACAUGUACUUACACCUACAAUAUUUAACACUGGAUCUUUGUAAGAUAAAAGGAAACUAUACAGUCUAAAGCUUUUCAUUUCCCAAAUAUUUUUUAUAAAG